GCCACCUUUCUCUUCAAGUGAGCCCUCUGUCUUGGGGAAGAGAUGAAUGAGCCACUUUGAAACUACUGGACGAUUAGGUGGCCAGGACACCAAGAUUAACAGCCCUAACCUUAACAUAAAAAAAAGAGUGAUGCCAGGUUCCUGUGAGCUGGACUACUUCUAGUCAUGACGAUUCUGCCAUGUGAUGGAGAAGGCGACCUCCAACCGAGAGGAUGGAGGCGAAGGAAAGCUCCGG